rnacentral:rRNA from 1 species
GACGAACGCUGGCGGCGUGCUUAACACAUGCAAGUCGAACGGAAAGGCCCUGCUUUUGUGGGGUGCUCGAGUGGCGAACGGGUGAGUAACACGUGAGUAACCUGCCCUUGACUUUGGGAUAACUUCAGGAAACUGGGGCUAAUACCGGAUAGGAGCUCCUGCUGCAUGGUGGGGGUUGGAAAGUUUCGGCGGUUGGGGAUGGACUCGCGGCUUAUCAGCUUGUUGGUGGGGUAGUGGCUUACCAAGGCUUUGACGGGUAGCCGGCCUGAGAGGGUGACCGGCCACAUUGGGACUGAGAUACGGCCCAGUCUCCUACGGGAGGCAGCAGUGGGGAAUAUUGCACAAUGGGCGGAAGCCUGAUGCAGCAACGCCGCGUGCGGGAUGACGGCCUUCGGGUUGUAAACCGCUUUCGCCUGUGACGAAGCGUGAGUGACGGUAAUGGGGAAAGAAGCACCGGCUAACUACGU